GAGCAAGAAACUUGAUAGCAGACUGUUGAAAUGAGAUAUUAGAUUUAGAUAGAGCUAGAGAGGAAAAACUAUACGAAAAAAUAUGAGUAGUUUGGGAGGCCUAGUGAUCAUUCUUUCAAGCUUUCUCUUUGUGUUUCUUCUUCUCUUAGCUUUCCUCAACAUCUUUUACAAACUAUGGUGGGCUCCAACUCGCAUACAGAAUCUGAUGGCUUUGCAGGGAAUCAAAGGCCCUUCCUACAGACCUAUCCAUGGAAACACCAAAUAAAUCUUGAACAUGAAAAGGGAAAUUAUUGGCAGGCCCAUGAGUUUAUCCCCUGACAUAAACAAACCCUUUCAUUAACAGUGGUUUUUAAAAAGUUUUUGUGGCUAAGAAUCUUCGGUCAUUUUUAAUUUAAAUGCAAUUGCAGGGAUGAAUUUCUUCAGUGGUAUGGCUCUCAAGCUCAGUUGGUCAUUGUGGAACCUGAGUUGUGCAAAGAGAUACUGAAUAACAAAGAUGGAGCUUUUGCAAAAAGGAAGCCCCAAAGCUAUGUCAAGAAACUUUUAGGAGAUGGUCUUGCGACAAUCGAAGGUGAAAAAUGGGGAAAAUUGCGAAAGCUGGCUAACCAUGCCUUCCAUGCAGAGAGCUUAAAAAGCAUGGUUCCAGAAAUGGUAGCUAGUGCCGAGACGAUGCUAGAGGGGUGGAAAAACAAUGAAGGAAAAGAGAUUGAGGUAUUCGAACCAUUUAGGAUGUUCACUUCUGAAGUGAUUUCAAGGACUGCUUUUGGCAGCAGCUACUUGGAAGGACAGAACUUAUUUGAGAAUUUAAUGAAGUUAUCCUUUUUAAUAUUCAAAAAUGCUCUCACUGUCAGAUUUCCUGGAAUCAGUAAGUUUUUCAAAACUAGCGAUGAGAUCGAAUCAGAGAAGCUUCAGAAAGGAAUGCACAACUCCAUAAUAGGGAUUGUUGAGAAAAGAGAAAAGAAGGCAAUGGAUGGAGAAGAAGACAGCUUUGGGAGUGAUUUUCUUGGAUUACUUUUAAAAGCUCAUCAUGAUACCAAUGACAGCCAGAGAAUUUCGGUUGAUGAUUUGGUUGAUGAGUGCAAGACAUUUUACUUUGCCGGACAAGAAACCACUAAUAGUAUGCUUGCAUGGACUGUGUUUCUCCUGGCACUUAAUACAGAUUGGCAGGAGGAAGCAAGAAAGGAGAUGAGUAUGAUCAUCAAUGAGUCUUUAAGGUUAUAUCCUCCUGUUGUUUCCGUGGAGAGGAAGGUUAGAAGGGAAGUUAGACUGGGGAAGCUCAUUGUUCCUGCUAAUGUUGAAUUGAUAAUCCCAAUUCUAGCAAUCCAUCAUGAUCCUGAAUUUUGGGGAGAAGAUGUGCAACUUUUCAAACCAGAGCGAUUCGAGGAAGGGGUUGCUAAAGCUACUCACAAUAACAUAGCUGCAUUCUUACCCUUUGGAAUGGGACCCCGGACAUGUGUGGCCUUCAACUUUGCGAUCACAGAAGCAAAGAUUGCUCUGUCAAUGAUUCUCCAACGCUACACCUUCACUCUUUCCCCUGCUUAUGUUCACUCCCCGUAUGAGUAUCUCACAGUUCGUCCACAACAUGGAGUUCAGGUUGCGCUGCACUCUCUUUGAACUGUCAAAAGUACCACCAGAAUUGCCCAUAAUCUUGAUAUUGGUGUUUAUAGUAUAUAGUAUACCGGGCAAGAUAGCUUAAAUAAUAUACAGGGCAACCUCUGAGGCCCUGUUAUGAGGUGGCACUAGCUCCCCCUUUAUCUUUUUCUUUGUUUUUCGCUGCUUUGCUGCUUGUAA